rnacentral:lncRNA from 11 species
CAGGCACAGCUGGUUUCCCAACUACAUAUUGGCCAUGAAGGGACACCUACGUACUGUCCAGCUGUCAGCAUUCAGCCCGGAAAGAAAGGGCAGCCUUUGGCCUCUGACAAGACGAAAGGCUGUUUGUUCUUCCCUGGGUGGUCAAUGGUAGCCUUGCGAUGGGCAAUGGCUCCUGUGGCCAAGGGAUGGACCUGUGCCAAGCGUGGUCCAGCUGCUCUUGUACAGAAGGGGCAAAGGCCGUACCUCUUUCUUUCUACAAUGCCUCAAAGAGUACAGGUGAUAAUAACCAUCCUAGUCCAUGUCCACAAAAACAGCACACUUGUUACACCUUUGAGACUACCCGGCUGCGUUCGGCACACACUUUUGUGGACUGCAUCAUUUGAAGACUGAGACAGAGUCUCGGGAAGCUCAUGCCUGAUAAAACUUCUCAGUCCUUAAACUGCCAUAAGGCUUUUUAUUAUUUCAAUCUUUCAUCACCAACCUGCUUUCUUCCUCCAAGUCCUCCUGUGCCAUUUUAUUAAAGCAUUCACCCAUA